rnacentral:rRNA from 1 species
CGUGUAGGUGGCUCGCCAAGUCUGGUGUGAAAGCCCACGGCUCAACCGUGGAACUGCAUUGGAAACUGGCGAGCUCGAGUAUUGGAGGGGGUCGCGGAAUUCCCGGUGUAGAGGUGAAAUUCGUAGAUAUCGGGAGGAACACCAGUGGCGAAGGCGGCGACCUGGCCAUUCACUGACACUGAGACGCGAAAGCGUGGGGAGCAAACAGGAUUAGAUACCCUGGUAGUCCACGCCGUAAACGAUGGGUGCUAGCCAUAUCGGGUGUUGACCCUUGGGUGUGGCGAAGCCAACGCGUUAAGCACCCCGCCUGGGGAGUACGGUCGCAAGAUUAAA